AUUUUCUUUCUUCACAAUUCCACAAAAAACCAAAAACUUAGGAUAUAUAAAGUUGAAUUGUAUUUUAAAAUUUAGCUUCUAUGGAUUUAGCAAUGUUUUGUCUUGUUUCAUUUACCAAUAUCAACCUUGUAUUUAUAAAAAUGCUCAUUUUUCUAGUUUUUUUAACCCUUUAUUUUCCUCUCAAAACCUUAAAAACAAGAGAGACAUGGCUUCAUGAUGAGAAAUAAAAGCUUAGUACAAACCUUUAGAUCCUACCUUUAGAGAAACCAUACAACAUUGCACAGGCAAUAAAAAAGAGGAGUUCAUCACUCUCCCAACAUGAUGAUGAGAGCUGGAUAGGUCUAUUACCAACUAUAUGAAGAAUUUAAGCAAGAAUAAGAGAAAAGCUGAACUUGCCAUUCAACAGAAGAUCCCAACACUAGUUGUUACGUUGUUAUUCACACAUGGGAAAGUGAAUUCUCUGGAUGGGUAAACCUCUUUUUAUUCGAGCAAGAAACUAACACCAUGCGGUGUUAAAGAUCCAGAUCUCUAUCGAGAUUGUUGAGCCUGAUGAGAUGAUUUGAUCACAUGGGAUUCUUAGAUACAAUUGAAUUUAAGAUGAUAGCUAGGGUUCAUGUUUGGAAAAGAGAUGAUCUGAUCACAUUUAUUUAUUUAUUUAUUUAAUAUAACAAUAUACAUUUUAAAUCACGAUUGUAUUUUAUUUUUAAUGAUUAGCACAAUCACAGAGGAAUCAAUUGGAUUACUUGAUGAUAAGUUAAACUAUAUAUCACGAUAUAAUAAAUAUAAAUUUUUUAUAGUA